UACAGAGGGGGCAAGCGUUAUUCGGAAUUAUUGGGCGUAAAGCGCGUGUAGGCGGCUAGGCAAGUCGGUUGUGAAAGCCCGGGGCCCAACCCCGGAACUGCAUCUGAAACUGCCUGGCUAGAGUCCCGGAGAGGAAGGCAGAAUUCCCGGUGUAGGGGUGAAAUCCGUAGAUAUCGGAAGGAAUACCAGCGGCGAAGGCGGCCUUCUGGACGGUGACUGACGCUGAGACGCGAAAGCGUGGGGAGCAAACAGG
rnacentral:rRNA from 1 species